rnacentral:rRNA from 1 species
UGCGUAGGUGGCGCCGUAAGUCGGGUGUGAAAUUUCGGAGCUUAACUCCGAAACUGCAUUCGAUACUGCGGUGCUUGAGGACUGGAGAGGAGACUGGAAUUCAUGGUGUAGCAGUGAAAUGCGUAGAGAUCAUGAGGAAGACCAGUGGCGAAGGCGGGUCUCUGGACAGUUCCUGACACUGAGGCACGAAGGGCCAGGGGGAGCAAACG